rnacentral:rRNA from 1 species
GGGGUGCGUGACGCGGGGGAAUCUGCCCCUUGGUUCGGAAUAACAGUUGGAAACGACUGCUAAUACCGGAUGAUGACGUAAGUCCAAAGAUUUAUCGCCGAGGGAUGAGCCCGCGUAAGAUUAACUGGUUGGUGUGGUAAAGGCGCACCAUGGCGACAAUCUUUAGCUGGUCUGAGAGGAUGAUCAGCCACACUGGGACUGAGACACGGCCCAGACUCCUACGGGAGGCAGCAGUGGGGAAUAUUGGACAAUGGGCGAGGCCUGAUCCUACAAUGCCGCGUGAGUGAUGAAGGCCUUAGGGUUGUAAAGCUCUUUUACCCGGGAUGAUAAUGACAGUACCGGGAGAAUAAGCUCCGGCUAACUCCGUGCCAGCAGCCGCGGUAAUACGGAGGGAGCUAGCGUUAUUCGGAAUUACUGGGCGUAAAGCGCACGUAGGCGGCUUUGUAAGUUAGAGGUGAAAGCCUGGAGCUCAACUCCAGAAUUGCCUUUAAGACUGCAUCGCUUGAAUCCAGGAGAGGUGAGUGGAAUUCCGAGUGUAGAGGUGAAAUUCGUAGA